GCGGGAAUAGCUCAGUGGUAGAGCACAACCUUNNAGUUCGAACCUCGUUUCCCGCUCCA
rnacentral:tRNA from 1 species